CAAAAUGCAACAGUACAGGUUAAAUACUACUUAGCUCAAUCACUUGGUGCUCGAACCAAAGCUUUGGAUAUCACUUGAUUGACUCACUUCCUGGCUUGGAGCAUCAAUUCCAAAAGCAAAGUAUCAUAAAGUUCUCUUCUCCUUUUGAAAAACUUAUUCUGCAAAACAAAGCAACAGAGUUUUUGGUACCCAUAAUCUUAUUUGGGUCCUUGAGGUUAGAGACAUAUUACUUUAUGACAGGAAUCCAAGCAUAUUU
rnacentral:lncRNA from 1 species